rnacentral:rRNA from 1 species
GAUCCUGGCUCAGGACGAACGCUGGCGGCACGCUUAACACAUGCAAGUCGAACGGAGAACAUUGAGCUUGCUUAAUGUUCUUAGUGGCGGACGGGUGAGUAACACGUGAGUAACCUGCCUCUGAGAGUGGGAUAGCUUCUGGAAACGGAUGGUAAUACCGCAUAACAUCAUGGAUUCGCAUGUUUCUGUGAUCAAAGAUUUAUCGCUUAGAGAUGGACUCGCGU